rnacentral:lncRNA from 1 species
UUUUUGGAAAGACUAUCUUUUAUAUAUUGCUUUUACUCCUUUACCAAAGAUCAGUUAACUGUAUCUAUCCAGAUAUAUUUAUAGGCUCCCUAUUCUGUUGCAUUAAUCUAUUUGUCUAUUCUUUCAGUACCAACUGUCUUGAUUAUUGUAGCUUCAUCGUAAAUCCUGAAGUUGGGUAGUUUCAGUCCUCUGACUUUCUACUUUUCCUUCAAUAUUGUUUUGGUUAUUCUGAGUUUUUUGCCUCUUUCUAUAAAUUUUAGAAUCAGUUUAUCCAUAUCCGCAAGAUAACUUGUUGGGAUUUUGAUUUUGACUGUAUUGAAUUUAUACAAGUUGGGAAGAACUGACAUCUUGAUAAUAUUGAAUACUUCUCCAUUUGCUUAGUUUAUAAACUAAAUUAGUUUAUUUAUUUCUUUGAUUUCAUUCAUCAGAGUUUUGUAUUUUCCUCAUAAAGAUCUCGUCCAGCUUUUAUUAGAUUUAUACCUAAGUGGGGUGCCUGAGUGGCUCAGCCAGUUAAGCGUCUGCCUUCAGCUCAGAUCAUGAUCCCAGGGUCCUGGGGUUGAGCCCUGCAUCCGGCUCCCUCUUGGCAGGGAGUCUGCUUCUCCUUCUCCUUCUGCCACUCACCCUGCUUGUGCUCAUUCUCGCUACUUCAAAUUAAAAAGAAAAGAUUUAUACUUAAAUAUUCAUUUUUGGGUGUGCUAAUAAAAAUGCUGGUGUUAUUACUUUCAAAUUCCACUUAUAAUUUCUGGUAUAUAGAAAAGUGAUUGACUUUUUGACAUUAGCUUUAUAUCCUAUUAAGCAUUAUAUUAGUUCUAGGAGGGUUUUUUUUUCGUAUUGAUUCUUUCUGAUUUCCUACAUAGACAAUCAUAUCAUCUGCAGACAAAGACAGUUUUAUUUCUUCUUUCCGAAUUUAUAUAUCUUUUAUUUCUUUUUCUUGUCUUAGUACAUUAAUUAGGAAUUACAGUACAAUUUUUUUAAAAAGAUUUCAUUUAUUUAUUCAUCAGAGACACACAGAGAGAGGCAGAGGGAGAAGCAGACUCCAAGCAGGGAGCCCAAUGUGGGACUCGAUCCCAGGUCUCCAGGAUCAGGCCCCAGGCCAAAGGCGGCGCUAAACCACUGAGCCACCCGGGCUGCCCGGAAUUACAGUACAAUUUUUAAAAGCAGCAGUGAAAGGGAACUUCUUAUCUUUUUUUUUUUUUUUUUUUUUUAGUUUAAAUUCUAGUUAGUUGACAUACAGUUCGAUAUUGGUUUCAGGAGUUAGAAUUCAGUGGUUCAUCACCUACGUAUGAUAUCCAGUGCUCAUCUGAACAAUUAAGUGCCCUCCUUAAUGCCCAUCACUCAUCUAUCUUCCUUACCUUACUCUGAUCUUUGUGGGAAAGUUUCAAGUUUAUCACCAUUAAAUAUGAUGUUAACUAUAGGGGUUUUUUUUGGUAUACUUUUUUAUUGGAGUUCGAUUUGCCAAUAUAUAGCAUAACACCCAGUGCUCAUCCCGUCAAGUGCUCCCCUCAGUGCCUGUCACCCAGUCACCCCAAUCCUCCCCGGCCCACCUCCCUUUCCACCAUUACAGGGGUUUUUUGUAGAUGUGCUUUAUCAAGCUGAGGAAGUUCCCUUCUAUUUCUAGUUUACUAAGCACUUUUAUCACAAAUGAGUACUGGAUUUUGUCAAAUGCUUUUUCUGCAUGUAUUAAUAUGAUCAUGUGAUUUUCAUUCUUUAGCCUCUUGAUAUGAUGGAUUACAUUAAUUCAUUUUUAAAUGGUGAACCAGCCUUACAUACUUGGGAUAAAUCCUUCUUGUUCAUGGUAUAUAAUUCUCUUUUAUCCAUUGUUGAAUUCUCUAAUAUUUUGUUGAGGAUUUUUCCAUCUAUGUUCAUGAGAAAUAUUAUACUUUUCUUUUCUUAUAAUGUCUUUGAUUGUGGAAUUAGGGUUACACUGGCCUAAUGGAGUGAGGUAGUAAGUAUUCCCUCUGCUUCCAUUUUCUGAAAGAGAUUAUAGAAAAUUAGUAUAAUUUCUUCCUUAAAUGUUUGGUAGAAUUCACUAGUGAAUCCAUCUGGUUAAAUUAGUAUCCCAGAACAUAGAGCAAAAAAAGCAGAGAAGUGAAUUAUGAGAAGAAUGAAAAAAUGGAGAAGUAAUAUAAAAGAAUAUAAAUCUACUCAGUAUGAUUUUUUUAAGGUUAAGAAUUUAUCCCCCAAAUGGAGGAAAAUUUUCCAUACCUGUAGACAAAUAAAAGGACACAUGGAAGGACCUAUAAGGUACCCAGCACAAUUAGUGUAAAAAAUGCUCACACUUAAAUAUAUCCGUGUAAAAUGUCUUAGGCCAAAAAUACUUCAUGAUUAUGUGGUGGUGAGUAAGCAGGACAAGUUAGACUUGCUGGAGUAAAAAUCAGGUUUGCAUCAAACUUUUUUCCUUGGGAUAUGAGAGAAACACCUUUAGAACACUGAUAGAAAUUGAUUUUGAAUAAUUCUAAGCCCACCAAAAGCUAUCAUUGAAAUGAGAGAAUAAGAUGGUAAAAAUAGAAUCUUUAUCUGAAUAUAUGAUGCUUCUUGAAAUAAUAAUUUGAGAAUUUAUUCCAGCAGGAUAUAGACAAGAGUAAGACAAGAAAUUCAAAUAACAAUUGACCAAGCCCAGUUGCUUAAUACAAAGCAAGAUUGGAAGAAAAAAAA